rnacentral:snoRNA from 1 species
GAAUCAAAAAUUAACCGGAAACAAUGCCACAGUUAGCUUUUUAUCUGUCUCCAACAGGUGCUAAUUGCCAGCGAUUUCAAUAUAAUUGAAAUGCUAGUUUCCCAGAGUGAUAUGACUGGAUAGGAAGUUCGUGGACUGUGUAUCUAGUACCUUCAAUGGAAGGUAUUGGUUGAUGGACCAGGAAUGUCGUAGAAAGGCAACAUUU